rnacentral:misc_RNA from 1 species
AACGGUCUAUACCUGCGGUACCUGCGGAAGGAUCAUUACAUGGCGGAGGAGGUGGGCACCUAGUAAAACAAAACCCUAGGUGUGUUGCCUACCACGCUUUCUACCCUUGUCUAUUUGCACCUUUUGUCGUUCCCUCGGUGGGUCUUGAACCUGCCGGCGGCAACUUUCAAAAACCUUUUGUAGUUAGUAUCUAAUUCUUCUGAUCAAAUAUUCAAUCGUUACAACUUUCAACAAUGGAUC